AACAGGCGGAAUUCUUUUUUUAUAUUAUACAUGCAGAUUCUUUAGAAUAAUUUGCUUUCUGCAUUUUUCAAGUGGAAAUAUAUUCCUUAAAGUCACCUCCUCUCCUUCAUCUUCCUCCUAAAGGGAUUUCAGUAUAAAAGAGAAAGGCAGUCACCUGGGCUACAUGUCCUCAGGGUUCUUCUCAUCCUCUGGGACUGGGGAAACCAUUGGCCUGUCUUUCCCCAGAGCUGUCCCAUUCACAAUAUCUGAAGUGAAAGACCUUAAAACUUGUUAAGCUCUACAUUUUAUAGCUGAAGCUCAAAAAGUUAAGUAACCGGUAUAGUAUUUUCUCUACCGUGAUUCUGACUAGUCCAGGGACUCAUUCUACAUAGCUGACCCCUGAAGACAUGAAGGUCAAGGGCACUGACUCCCCCUCAUCCUCAGUCAAAAAUCCACGAAUUGUUCUCUGAGCCCCAGCAACAAAGGCCUUGAUAAUGACUCACCCAAGGGCGGGGCAGGACGCUCAAACAGUGAGGCUCGAAUCAGGACUCACCUUUUAGUUUCUUUGAUUCCACACAGUGUGAUUGACAUCUUUUAAAGAUCUGUAAAAUGAAAAUACAGGUACUUUAUUUAUUGAAACAGGUCCACAUAAGUGGACGGAUGAAGUGCAAAACCCUUGUUUAAGGGUCCGCUGUAUACAUCCCGAGCACUGGACUUGGAGUGAAACAUGAUCCACGUUUGUGAUCCUGGCCAAAUCACACCUCUGUUUUUCAAAAUGGGAGUAACGCUCAGUCCAAAAAAUUAUGAGGAUUAAAUAAUGGUUUUGAACAUGUUCUAUGAAUGGUAGACUGUUAAAAAAAAGUUAUUACAUCAUUUUACACGAGGUCACUGGUUCUCCUAGGACAACGGGUCCCUGGCGCCUGGAAAAGGUGUCAUCCUGUGCAUGGACCUGGGGAGGGCGGUAGGUCUCCGUCUUCAGCUCGGCUUGUCUUUCCAGUCGCAGGCCCUUCUGCAGAAGAAUCCUAGUUCAGCUGUUGGUUUGUUAGGGCUCUCUGGCUAGUAGAAAGCAACACUAAAUGUCUGAAUUUAGUAUCCAACAGUCUCCUUUUAAGUCUCAUUAGAGGGAUUAAGGUGCAACAAAGGGAAUCCUGUCCUCUCGCUGUGCUGAGAAUUCCCAGGAGUCUUCCUCUCAGUGGUGGAAGAAGAAAACACAGGCCAGUCCCUCCUAACUGCUCUCUCCCUGGCUAGAAUAGCCAUAACUCGGGGAGAGAAAAACCCUUCCCAGUAGGACUCUUACCAGAGGUACGAACAGCCUUCUGCUCAGCCUUCUUUCCUCUUCAUCGAAGGAUGACAAAGGAGGAGCAUUCGAGUGCUGGGGCCUUUACUCUGUCCCACCACUGUUGGCAGGGAGGGUGGCGAGCACACCUGAUCUCUCUAACCCAGCUCUACACCAGACUGCCCAGGGCUGGGCCUCUGCCUUCCCUCUGCAAGGGGACACCUGGUGAUGCAGAGCCUGGUCCGUGACCCAGGAUACAGCCUGGAUAAGCUGGUCCAGAUCUUCCCACAGGAAUUCCAACAGGAAACCUUGAGAGUGGGGCACAGGUGGAACCCGGCACGCAAAGAAGGAUGACAUGGGGUACAAGUGUAGCCCUGUGCAACUUAUACAAAACAGAUGAUGAUGAGGAAAUGAACAAGGCCAUUGAUUCAGCACUGAACUGUGUCAAUACAUUAUUUUUAAGAGACAUUUUACAGGUUAGAAAGCCUUUCCAAACAUUAGAUGAGUCUCUACUACAUGACAAACCCAAACCUGGCCUAUCUAGCCUUAGAGACGAUGCUGCAAAGAAGGGAAGACAGGAUGAAGAGCAGGAGUGUAGGAAGCUGCAGCUCAGGUUCCGCUUCCUACAGCCUCAUGAGGGCGUGUCUUAACGUCAUGAACAUGAACCCUUGUGCUCAGCCCCAGUGAACCCGCAGAUCAGCGUGAAUCUGUUCCCCACGGUGGAAAAGGUUGUGAUGAUUCUCAGAUGGAAAUUCAAGUUUGGUUUUCUGCAAAUGCUUAAUGUAGGAACUUUAAACAGUCCUUUAUGAUACUUUAAAAAGCUUACAGAACUUAAAAAUUUUUUUAGCUAAAAUAAAGCACCUUGCAGUAUCAUGCAGCCUCCCAAUUCCUUAUAGAACAUGGCUCAACAGUGAAGAAACAAUUUAUGCUCAAAAGUCUCAAGUAAUGCAUAGCUUAAAGAUAAAAGUUAAUACAAGACAAACUUUCCUAACAAGACUAUUGACGGGUCCAGUGGAAAGCUGCAAGAGGCCAGUAAGUCACUGUGCUUCAGUUUUAAAUUACAGCUAAAUAGAAUCUAGUAUUAAAAAUAGGGGUGUUUCUGUUUCCCUACCAUUCAUUCUGUCAAACUUCAAGAUAGGUGUCAGGAUGACCUAAAGUGUAAGCAUAAAGGUAGAAAGUAUUACUAUGAUUGAUGAAAGUAUCUUACUAAAAGGGUAUUUGAACACCCGUAACUUACUUUUAAAGCUAAAUGAUUUUUUACCAGUCAUGGAUGUUAAUAAGAUUCAAGAAUUACUUGGGAGUUCCCAUCGUGGCUCAGUGGUUAACGAAUCUGACUGGGAACCAUGAGGUUUUGGGUUUGAUCCCUGGCCUCGCUCAGUGAGUUAAGGAUCCAGCGUUGCUGUGGCUGUGGUGUAGGCCAGCAGCUAUAGCUCUGACUGGACCUCUAGAGCCUGGGAACCUCCACGUGCCGUGAGUGCAGCCCUAGAAAAGACAAAAAGACCAAAAAAAACAAAAAACAAAAAAACCUUGAACUGGGAGUUCCCACUGUGGCCAGGGGUUAAGGAUCCAGCAUUGUGACAGCUGUGGCCUAGGUCAUAGAUUCAAUCAUUGGCCCUCGGGGAACUUGCACAUGCUGUGGGUGCAGAAAAAAAAAAAAAAAAAAAAAAAAAAAAAACCCACAAAAAAAACACUAGAAAUGGUGUUAUUUUCAUCAACGAAAUCAUUCAUUCUCUCCAGUGAUACUGCAACACUUUGCACUCCAUUUUGUACAAUAUGGAAAGCUACUGUAUUAUAUGACAAACGCCUUUCACACGUUUUUAUCACCGUAUGUUUUGAGAACAGAGGUCAUGUUUUAUAAUUUCUAAUAGCUUUAUUACAUCCAGUGCAGAGCUCUGCACAUGACAGGAACACAUACUAUGACUACACGACUUUAGCAUAGGGUAGUUUCAACAUAAUUGCUCAUAAUGACAGAAUGAGAACUAAAAAGGAAAUACAACACCAAGUUAACCUGUUCAACAUCUGUUGGCACAGUUUACGCUCGCCCUACGCUGAGCACAAGCAACACGACGGUAAAGGAGACACCUGUGUGCCCCCAGCAGCCCACCUCCAAGGAGUGGUUACUGCCCCCGGAGACCACAGACCGCUGGGGGUCUCCCAGAAGACAGGUUGUCUGCAAAGCCUAGCACAUACCUGGACAACUGUGUUUCAAGUGUUUGCUGAUAUGUGGUGAUUCGUGUGCACAUUUAUCAUCCCAAGCAGGAGAUACUGACCCGAAAGAGAUUUAAACAAACCAGACAUUUAAAAAAGCACACGUGGAAAACACUAUAAACCUCCAAUACGAAAGUUUUAAAGUUUUAAGAAAACUGAAAGCUUGAAGAGUCGAGAAAGCUUUUUGGAAAGAGGUACGUCAUAGGAAUCUUCGAAGAAUUACUAGCACUUCUAACCUGUACCUAAGGUACAAAUACAUUUCAAAGGCUUGCAAGGGACAUAAAAUAUUUGCUUCUUUUAUACAAAGAGGCUCAUUAUAAACCAUCACCUUUACAGAGUAUAAAUAUUGACCAGGAAUCAGAUUUUUGUUUUGCUAAGCUCAGGCUUACCAAAAUUUCUCUUGUUUUGCUAAGCUCAGGCUUACCAAAAUUUCUCUCCAAGGACCGUUAGCCUAGAGCAGAUGAGCUGUACCACCACUAAAGCUUGGCCCAGAGCCCAAAGGGUUGCUGUGCUGCUCAACAAUGCCUUCAAGUACCGUUUUAUCUUAAAUAUUCAAAUGAAUUUUGCAUUCUGUUCUAUAAUAUUUACUUAUUUAAAAUGUAUUCUUGGAGUUCUUGUCAUGGCACAGCGGUUAAUGAAUCUGACUAGGAACCAUGAGGUUGCGGGUUCGAUCCCUGCCCUUGCUCAGUGGGUUAAAGAUCCGGCGUUGCCGUGAGCUGUGGUGUAGGUUGCAGAUGUGGCUCAGAUCCCGCGUUGAUGUGGCUCUGGCGUAGGCUGGCAGCUACAGCUCCGAUUCGACCCCUAGCCUGGGAAAAUCCAUAUGCCAAGAAAUGGCAAAAAAGACAAAAAAUAAACAAUAAAUAAAAUAAAACGUAUUCUUGUAAAUUACCCUUUCCUCAAAAUUAUCUAGAAAAGUCGCUGUCCAAGGAAUAGGUCCUAUUUAAGAAGCAAGGCCAACGAGCUCCGUGGUGGUCUAGUGGUUAGGACUCAGGGCUUUCACCCUUGGGGCCACGGUUCAAUCCCUGCUCUGGGAACUGAGGUUCCACAUCAAGCCACUGCAUGCCACGGCCAAAA
rnacentral:lncRNA from 1 species